rnacentral:tRNA from 1 species
GCUGUCCUAGUUUAAUAUAAAACGUUGUGUUGUGGUCACAAAGAUAGAUACUAUCUGGAUGGUA